GAUGAACGCUGGCGGCGUGCCUAAUACAUGCAAGUCGAGCGAACGGACGAGAAGCUUGCUUCUCUGAUGUUAGCGGCGGACGGGUGAGUAACACGUGGAUAACCUACCUAUAAGACUGGGAUAACUUCGGGAAACCGGAGCUAAUACCGGAUAAUAUUUUGAACCGCAUGGUUCAAAAGUGAAAGACGGUCUUGCUGUCACUUAUAGAUGGAUCCGCGCUGCAUUAGCUAGUUGGUAAGGUAACGGCUUACCAAGGCAACGAUGCAUAGCCGGCCUGAGAGGGUGAUCGGCGACACUGGAGCUGAGACACGGUCCAGACUACUACGGGAGGCAGCAGUAGGGAAUCUUCCGCAAUGGGCGAAAGCCUGACGGAGCAACGCCGCGUGAGUGAUGACGGUCUUCGGAUCGUAAAACUCUGUUAUUAGGGAAGAACAUAUGUGUAAGUAACUGUGCACAUCUUGACGGUACCUAAUCAGAAAGCCACGGCUAACUACGUG
rnacentral:rRNA from 1 species